AUGGGAUGUGUUUGGUUACUUUCUGAGCAGGGUCUGGUUGAGAGGAGGAAAAGAGUCAGGCUGGGCAGAGCCUGGCUAAGAAAAAACGACAUUGUAAGCAUAGACGAGCUGACACUGGUGACCUUCGACCUAGCCGCGGCGCAAGCAAGAGCAAAGGACACUGGCGAGGAGAAGAAGAAGACGAUGCCCUGUCAGGACAGAGGCAACCGCGACAACAUGUAUCUGACCGGCAGGGCCCGCCUGUCAGCUGCUGACGUGGCAUUUUUUUUUGCAGAAACCCCCCACGGUGUCGCUCCGCGCCCGCCUCGCCGCCCUCGCCCUCUCCCCAUGGCGGCCUCCUACCUCAGCCGGCGCGCGCACGACCCCAGCGCGCCGGUGGUGCUGACCCCGCCGGCGAGAGAUCGCGCCGCCGGCGAGAGAGAGAAAUGA
rnacentral:rRNA from 1 species